rnacentral:lncRNA from 1 species
AUUCACACCGUAUUACAACAUAAUUUAUUCAAGGUAAUGGACGACACUCUGCACUUCAGCACUAUUACCAGAAGUUCAAAGAAGAUUGUACUAAGGCUGCAUUUUCAUUUUCACGGGUCCAAGCAUCCCAUACACUGCAGCCAAGGAUCAUCCAAUUUGCACUCUCCAUGGCAUCGUUCGAAACCAAGCAGUCCCUUGCAUCAACUUCCCUCAAAAUCCACAAAGUACAAGUGUAAUUUUUGGUCAUAUUGCAAAGAAAUGAAAUAAAGAUUUACACAAGCAAAUGAAUGUUUGAGCAGAAUGAACCUUUUAUAGGCAAACCCAUGCAUUUUUAAUCGUCAGAUCUCAAAGAUCUGGACCGUCCGAAUUCGGGUCACAUAUAGACCAUUUCGAUGAGACCAACCUUUCAGCUUUACGGCCCAAAUCAAAACACGUGGAAUACGUUGAAAAUUGAGGGCACCACCCUCCUUGGAAAGGCGAAAUGGCAGCAUGGAAGUAUUUGGUAAUAAAUGACGAAAGAUGUUCAAACUACCCGAACCAUCUCACAUAGCAUUUCUUCGGUUGACAUUCUAACCACUUCGACAACGGUACAAACCACCUUGAAAUUUUACACCUAACAACUCGGACAUUUAUAACUUUGGCUUUCCAUAUACAUUAAGGAAAGGCCACUUAUAUGUACAAGGCACACGAGCCUCGACCUCGAUUCCGAUGGCUAUUGACGUACACGUUUGGCAAGGCUAAAACUCUCACACGAAUAUUUAAACACUUGGACUUGGGGGACUAAUGUUACCUCAUGGAUUCCUUUUUCUUCAAAAAAGUCAUAAACUCUAUGUACCAUAUAAAUGAUCAUACAUAGACUUGUAAGACUAUUGUUACUAGUCAUAAAGAAUGGCCACGUGGACCCCCCGUAUUUACACGUG